UACAGAGGGUGCAAGCGUUAAUCGGAAUUAUUGGGCGUAAAGGGCUUGUAGGUGGUUCUAUAAGUUAGAUGUGAAAACCCUGGGCUUAACCUGGGACGUGCAUUUAAUACUGUAGAGCUAGAGUAUAGUAGAGGAAAGGGGAAUUCCUGGUGUAGCAGUGAAAUGCGUAGAGAUCAGGAGGAACAUCAGUGGCGAAGGCGCCUUUCUGGACUAAUACUGACACUGAGGAGCGAAGGCGUGGGGAGCAAAC
rnacentral:rRNA from 1 species